rnacentral:misc_RNA from 1 species
GCCCUCUGGUAGUUUUAAAGAGAAUGUAAUGCUCAAGUAUAAGUUUUCUCCAUGCCAGCGUAACUAUGAGUGCCUUGAACGGCUUCUAACCCUUGGUGAGCGGGAAUGAGAGCGCGAGCGUGAGCGAGAAUGAGAGUGAGACCGAGAACGGGAGCGGGAAUGGUAUCUUCGAGAACUGCUUCUACUUGGACUUCUGUGUCGGUAUCUUCUAGGUGGAGAUCGACUAUAACUCCUACUACGGCUAC